UGGGCCUCAAAUAAUGUGUGACUC
rnacentral:rRNA from 1 species